rnacentral:rRNA from 1 species
GGGUCAGUAGGUUGGUCGUGCCACCGGUACGUACUGGUCUCACCGAUUCCUCCUUCCUGAAGAACCGUAAUGCCAUUAAUUUGGUGUUGCGGGGAAACAGGACUGUUACUUUGAAGAAAUUAGAGUGUUUAAAGCAAGCUAACGCUUGAAUACAUUAGCAUGGAAUAAUGAAAUAGGACGAUCGAUCCUAUUUUGUUGGUUUCUAGGAUUGACGUA